rnacentral:misc_RNA from 1 species
CGCAGCCGCGGUAAUUCCAGCUCCAAUAGCGUAUAUUAAAGUUGCUACAGUUAAAAAGCUCGUAGUUGAAUUUCGGGACCAUCAUGUUGGUCGUGCCUCGGUACGUACUGGCAUUGUUGGUUUCUCCCUUCUGACGAACCAUGAUGUCAUUUAUUUGGUGUCGUGGGAAAUCAGGACUGUUACUUUGAAAAAAUUAGAGUGUUUAAAGCAGGCUCACGCUUGAAUACAUUAGCAUGGAAUAAUGAAAUAGGACGUUUGAUUCUAUUUUGUUGGUUUCUAGGAUCGACGUAAUGAUUAAUAGGGAUAGUUGGGGGCAUUAGUAUUCAAUUGUCAGAGGUGAAAUUCUUGGAUUUAUUGAAGACUAACUACUGCGAAAGCAUUUGCCAAGGAUGUUUUCAUUAAUCAAGAACGAAAGUUAGGGGAUCGAAGACGAUCAGAUACCGUCGUAGUCUUAACCAUAAACUAUGCCGACUAGGGAUCGGAUGAUGUUAAUUUUUUAAUGACUCAUUCGGCGCCUUAC